rnacentral:lncRNA from 1 species
GUUACAAUGGUCGUGGAGCUUCUUGGAUUAAAAUUGCAAAGAGUAGUACUGGAAAGCUUCAUUUUCGUAAGAUGCUCUGGUAUUUCCGAGUAGAAGAAAGCAAAGCCAACAAGGGUCGUUAGAAAUUAUUAGUACUCUACAAAAUUUGUAACACAUCAUAUUAAUUGGGAACUCAAAUCUUGGUUGCAAAAAUUAGAUCUGUGCUAUAAAUGCAGGCAAUACAAAAGGUAGGAAGACCAUACGAAGACCAAUACAAAAAGGAGGAUGCAUGAGCUUCAGAUCUGAUUGAAUUUAGUCAGAAGAUGGAGACUUGAAGGAGGAAUUAGUGGAGAAUGGGAAGGUGGAUAGAACAUGGGAACAAAUCAAAUACGUGUAGGUAUGACAUGGUGCUUUUUUUAACUCUUGCGUAUGUCAAUAUUUUUCUACAGUUACAUAUAUACAACUGAAUCACAAAGGAUUUUUUUUUGAUUAGGUACACCAUAGAAUAGUC